GCCAGCAUGGCAUAGUGGUUUGAGUGCUGGACUGCGACUCUGAAGACAGGGUUCGAUUCCCAACUCAGUCA
rnacentral:tRNA from 1 species